rnacentral:rRNA from 1 species
CGGCGAGUGAAGCGGCAAAAGCUCAAAUUUGAAAUCUGGCGUCUUCGACGUCCGAGUUGUAAUUUGAAGAAGGCGACUUUGUAGCUGGUCCUUGUCUAUGUUCCUUGGAACAGGACGUCAUAGAGGGUGAGAAUCCCGUGUGGCGAGGAUCCCAGUUAUUUGUAAAGUGCUUUCGACGAGUCGAGUUGUUUGGGAAU